UGCGUAGGCGGCUUUUUAAGUCAAAUGUGAAAUCCCCGAGCUUAACUUGGGAAUUGCAUUCGAUACUGGUUAGCUAGAGUAUGGGAGAGGAUGGUAGAAUUCCAGGUGUAGCGGUGAAAUGCGUAGAGAUCUGGAGGAAUACCGAUGGCGAAGGCAGCCAUCUGGCCUAAUACUGACGCUCAGGCACGAAAGCGUGGGGAGCAAACAGGAUUAGAUACCCCCGUA
rnacentral:rRNA from 1 species